GUCACUGUGAACUUACUCCCCAUGCUUUUAUCUAACUAGCGGCCUUAAUACUAAGAGCUGAUACAGGAAUGAAAUUGAAGCAAUAAAGAUUUACCUAUCAGUGGAGGAUUCCAACAUGGAGGAUUACGGAAUGACAUAAUGCACUAGGGCAAUCUGAAGAAUUUUGGGAUUUAUCAAUUACAUAUCAACUCUUGAAAAAAUUCAAGUAAUGACAAAAUCCAAAACUGAUGCCACUAAAAUAUAUUCUGUUCAUGGAUCUUCCUUUUUUAAUUGUGCUUAUUUAUGGAAUACAGUAUGCAUGUAUUAGGUGUAUGAAAAUCAGAACAGGCUAUUAUUUGUGGUGGACAAAGUUGUAUUGAAUUUCACCACUAUGUGCAAAUAGGACAAUAUCACAGGAUGGUAUUUCCGAGUGAAAUCUGUUGACUCAUCGAUCUGGACUGAGAAGACAUGCUUUGCAGUUUAUUACAUGAAAACCCUUCAGCUCAGGUGACAUAUCAUCAAUACGUUAAUGUAUUCUAUUCUGUGAGUGGAACACUGUCAUAUCCUCAUUUUGCAUUUCAUGCCACCAUAUUCUACCUAAUUUUACAUGCUGUUACUUAGUGCUUAGGAGUUGUGUGACUUUUCCUUUUCUGGCCAGUAAGUCCUGUACCUUAAAAAAUUGCUUGUUGAGCCUUAUAGUAAAUAUUCAAUUGUUA